UGCAUCGUCACCAGCACCUAGUGCUUUUAUGUUUUUAACUGUAGCCAUUCAGCCUGGGGGAGUUAACAUCUCAGUUUACUUUUUAUUUCCAUUUCCUUGAUGGGUAAAGAUGCCGCGUGCAGCUACAUACGGAUGGAGUCUUCUGGACGAGAAGGAACCUAGGAGAAAUUAAGGGAAUCGGAUGGCAAGUGGAAUAAAUAAAAAAAAAAUGGGA